rnacentral:lncRNA from 1 species
GCUUUAUUCCUCUCUCUGGGUAAGAUGCUCACAAGGACUGCGUUCUCUGUCCUGGUUUUGGACACUCAAUCCUGCUACCUUCCUCCCUUCCAAAGAAAUGGAAACUUUCCCAUGCAGCUGCAAUGCUGAGACUGCUGCCAAGCCCCCCUCUGAGGGACAGUGUGAUCUGAAGGAAGACGACCAACCACCUCCAGAGGACAGCCAGCAAGCCACAGCAAUGUCCAUGGCAACAGAGAGCUGGGAGGAUAAGACAAGCAAUGAGAAACCCAGCGACACUCAACCUGCAGGGA